AAGUCGUAACAAGGUUUCCGUAGGUGAACCUGCGGAAGGAUCAUUAUUGAAUUCGUUCGCUUUUCUGGCUGUGCGCCGCAAGGCUUGCACGCCAGAGAGCAACUCGAUUUCCACACACCUGUGCACCUUCACGGGCUCCCCACAAAGGGGUCCGUUCUUUUUCACUAGCCACGAAUGUCAAGGAAUGUAUCUAUAAUGAAAAUUAAAUACAACUUUCAACAACGGAUCUCUUGGCUCUC
rnacentral:misc_RNA from 1 species